rnacentral:lncRNA from 1 species
UCUUAUUCAUUUACCAUGUAUAUUUUAUACUGAAGCUGGUCAUCAUCGAUUAGGCGAUAACCUUGAACUUAUCCGGAUAUUGAAUUAGCUAGGGUUUGUGAAGUUGCUGAAACACAUAUACAUGAGGAGGAGGAAGGAGAUGAAGAAGAAGAAGCCACGCUCACACGCUUUACUACAUUAGCUUCUUGGUUCCUGCUCUCCAGCCGCAACAAGUUCCUAGACAUGUCUCCCAGAGGCUCUGGUCAAUUACCAAAAUGUCCUCCUAAUAUAAGUCAACCAAAUUGAGCUAGAAAAUCGUUUGUAUUAUUGUACUAAGAAUUAAUGUUGAUUUAAUUGGUGUUUGUUGUUGUUAUUGUUCGUAGUUCUUGAACUUUCAAUGCUAAGUGUGGAGAAAGUGGAAAUGAAAAAGGAGGUUAAUGCAUACUUAUACUUAAAUUAACUUCAACCCAGUGGUUCUUAUUCUAUUUCCAUGCCAAUAUGUAUGUAUGUAUGUGUGUCUAUAUAUAUAUAUAUAUCCUGAUCUUUUUUGCCCUUUUCCUGUUGUGUGAUAAUGUGUUCCCUAGCUAGUGAUUUAAGGAUAUGAUGAAUGCUUUAGGAGCUCUAUAG